rnacentral:rRNA from 1 species
ACCAGCACGUUAUGGUGGGCGACUCUAAGGAGGAACUGCCGGGUGGACAAACCGGAGGAAGGUGGGGAGUGACGUCAAGUCAUCAUGGCCCUUACGGCCUGGGCUACACACGUGCUACAAUGGUCGGUACAAAGGGUUGCCAAGCCGCGAGGUGGAGCUAAUCCCAUAAAACCGAUCGUAGUCCGGAUCGCAGUCUGCAACUCGACUGCGUGAAGUCGGAAUCGCUAGUAAUCGUGAAUCAGAAUGUCACGGUGAAUACGUUCCCGGGCCUU